rnacentral:tRNA from 2 species
CGGGGCAUGGCGCAGUCUGGUAGCGCGCCUGCUUUGGGAGCAGGAAGUCGGGGGUUCAAAUCCCUCUGCCCCGACCA